rnacentral:rRNA from 1 species
AGAGUUUGAUCCUGGCUCAGAAUGAACGCUGGCGGCGUGCUUUACACAUGCAAGUCGAGCGAGGCGUGUAGCAAUACACAGUCGAGCGGCGAACGGGUGAGUAACGCGUGGAUAACCUGCCCUGAGGUGGGGAAUAACCCGGGGAAACUCGGGCUAAUACCGCAUGAUACCUAGCGGUCAAAGCGGGGUCGCAAGAUCUCGUGCCACAGGAGGGGUCCGCGUUCGAUUAGCUAGUUGGUAGGGUAAUGGCCUACCAAGGCGACGAUCGAUAGCCGGCCUGAGAGGGUGAUCGGCCACACUGGAACUGAGACACGGUCCAGACUCCUACGGGAGGCAGCAGUGGGGAAUUUUGCGCAAUGGGCGAAAGCCUGACGCAGCAACGCCGCGUGGAGGAUGAAGGUCUUUGGAUCGUAAACUCCUGCCAGCAGGGAAAAAGCAAGGGGACCUCAUACGUCUCUGAGUUGAUUGUACCUG